rnacentral:rRNA from 1 species
AUUGAACGCUGGCGGCAGGCCUAACACAUGCAAGUCGAACGAGUGGCGGACGGGUGAGUAAUGUCUGGGAAACUGCCUUAUGGAGGGGGAUAACGACUGGAAACGGUAGCUAAUACCGCAAACCAUCAGAUGUGCCUAGAUGGGAUGCGAUGGUGGGUGGUGUGACGGAUCACCAAGGCGACGAUCCCUAGCUGGUCUGAGAGGAUGACGCGCAACACGGCAACGAAGACACGGUCAAGACUCCUAAGGGAGGCAGCAGCGGGGAAUAUACGGCAAUGGGCGGUAGCCUGCAGCAGCCAUGGCGCGUGUAUGAGGAAGGCCUUCGGGGCGUAAAGUACUAUAAGUGGGGGGGCGGUACCCGAAGAAGAAGCACCGGCUAACUCCGUGCCAGCAGCCGCGGUAAUUC